UACGGAGGGUGCGAGCGUUAAUCGGAAUUACUGGGCGUAAAGGGUGCGUAGGUGGUUUGAUAAGUUAUCUGUGAAAGUCCUGGGCUUAACCUAGGGAGGUCAGAUAAGACUGUUGAACUUGAGUCUAGGAGAGGGUAGUGGAAUUUCCGGUGUAGCGGUGAAAUGCGUAGAGAUCGGAAGGAACACCAGUGGCGAAGGCGGCUACCUGGCCUAAGACUGACACUGAGGCACGAAAGCGUGGGGAGCAAACAGG
rnacentral:misc_RNA from 1 species